rnacentral:rRNA from 1 species
UACGUAGGGGGCAAGCGUUGUCCGGAAUCAUUGGGCGUAAAGAGCGUGUAGGCGGCUCGGUAAGUCCGCUGUAAAAGUCCAAGGCUCAACCUUUGAAUGUCAGUGGAUACUGCCGGGCUAGAGUCCGGAAGAGGCGAGUGGAACUCCUGGUGUAGCGGUGGAAUGCGCAGAUAUCAGGAAGAACACCAGCGGCGAAGGCAGCUCGCUGGGACGGUACUGACGCUGAGACGCGAAAGCGUGGGGAGCGAACAGG